CAGAGAGAACUGCCAGCAUGACACUUGUCAGCUUGCUGUGGGCCAUCACAGUCUCCUCCUGUCUUGCAUCCAGUGCAGCCCAGAUGGUAACUCAGUCUAAACAGCAAAAGUCUGUCCGGGAGACAGAGUCAGUGACUCUGGACUGCACAUAUGACACUAAAGAUAGUAAUUAUUAUUUGUUCUGGUACAAACAGCUUCCCAGAGGGAAGAUGAUUUUCAUUAUUCUCCAGGAGGCUUUUAAGCAGCAGAAUGCAACAGAGAAUCGCUUUUCUGUGAACUUCCAGAAAGCAGCCAAGUCCUUCAGCCUCAAGAUUGCAGACUCACAGCUGGAGGAUGCUGCAAUGUAUUUCUGUGCUCUCAGUGGCCCACAGUGA